rnacentral:piRNA from 1 species
UGCACUGGUGAAGACAAGCUGGUGACA